AUUCUUCAGGGCGGGGUGUAAUUCCCCACCGGCGGUAUAGCCCGCAAGCAUUACGCUGAUUCGGUGAAAUUCCGAAGACGACGGUAUAGUCCGGAUGAAAGAAGAA
rnacentral:ncRNA from 1 species